rnacentral:rRNA from 1 species
AUGUCUCCUCGUGACCGGCCCACCGGGGAGGUGAGGGAGAAUGGGGAGAGGGUCGGGUUCGAGGUCGUGACGCUCGACGGGCGAAGCGGACCGCUCGCAUCAUCCAGGAUUUCAAGCCCUGAGUCUGCUAGAUGGCCUACUGUUGGGAAGUACAAAGUAGAUACAGCAUCUUUGGAAUCGCUAGCAUUGCCUGAGUUGCAGGUCAAAGAAGAUACAGAUCUCUUCAUCAUUGAUGAAGUGGGUAAAAUGGAGUUGUUCAGUCCAGCAUUUUUCCCUGCUGUGAUGAGAGUUAUGGAGUCCAACAUCCCUGUGCUGGCCACCAUACCACUACCAAGAUAUGGCAGAGACAUUCCUGGAGUUGCAAGGUUGAGGAAUCAUCCUGGAGCAGAUGUUUUCACCUUAAAUACUGGCAACAGGGAUACCAUGAGAGAGAGUAUCUACAAUCAGUUGAGCAGAUUGAUGCAGAAGAGGUGA